rnacentral:sRNA from 1 species
GCUUGGUGUGGUGGAGCACACCUAUAAUCCCAGCAACUUGGGAGGCCGAGACAGGAGGAUCUGCAAGUUCAAGGCUUGUCCAGGCGACUUAGCAAGACUCUGUCUCAA